rnacentral:rRNA from 1 species
UUAAACUGAAGAGUUUGAUCAUGGCUCAGAUUGAACGCUGGCGGCAGGCUUAACACAUGCAAGUCGAGCGGUAACAGAGAUAGCUUGCUAUCUGCUGACGAGCGGCGGACGGGUGAGUAACGCGUAGGAAACUACCCAGUAGUGGGGGACAACAGUUGGAAACGACUGCUAAUACCGCAUACGCUCUACGGAGGAAAGGGGGCUUCGGCUCUCGCUAUUGGAUGUGCCUGCGUGAGAUUAGCUAGUUGGUGAGGUAAGAGCUCACCAAGGCGACGAUCUCUAGCUGGUCUGAGAGGAUGAUCAGCCACACUGGGACUGAGACACGGCCCAGACUCCUACGGGAGGCAGCAGUGGGGAAUAUUGGACAAUGG